rnacentral:rRNA from 1 species
AUUGAACGCUGGCGGCAGGCCUAACACAUGCAAGUCGAACGAGUGGCGGAGGGGUGAGUAAUGUCUGGGAAACUGCCUGAUGGAGGGGGAUAACUACGGGAAACGGUAGAUAAUACCGCAUAACAUUGGAUGUGCCCAGGUGGGAUUAGCUAGUAGGUGGGGUAACGGCUGACCGAGGCGACGAUCCCUAGAUGGUCUGCGAGGAUGACCAGCCACACGGGAACUGAGACACGGUCCAGACUCCUACGGGAGGCAGCAGUGGGGAAUCUUGCGCAAUGGGCGAAAGCCUGAUGCAGCCAUGCCGCGUGUAUGAAGAAGGCCUUCGGGUUGUAAAGUACUUUCAGCAGGGAGGCGUUACCCGCAGAGAAAGCACCGGCUAACUCCGUGCCAGCAGCCGCGGUAAUUC